CAGUAGCCACGGGAAUACGUAGGUGGCAAGCGUUGUCCGGAAUUAUUGGGCGUAAAGGGCUCGCAGGCGGUUUCUUAAGUCCGAUGUGAAAGCCCCCGGCUCAACCGGGGAGGGUCAUUGGAAACUGGGAAACUUGAGUGCAGAAGAGGAGAGUGGAAUUCCACGUGUAGCGGUGAAAUGCGUAGAGAUGUGGAGGAACACCAGUGGCGAAGGCGACUCUCUGGUCUGUAACUGACGCUGAGGAGCGAAAGCGUGGGGAGCGAACAGGAUUAGAUACCCGGGUAGUCCCUGUCUCUUAUAA
rnacentral:rRNA from 1 species